rnacentral:rRNA from 1 species
ACGCUGGCGGCGUGCUUAACACAUGCAAGUCGAACGGAAAGGCCCUGCUUUUGUGGGGUGCUCGAGUGGCGAACGGGUGAGUAACACGUGAGUAACCUGCCCUUGACUUUGGGAUAACUUCAGGAAACUGGGGCUAAUACCGGAUAGGAGCUCCUGCUGCAUGGUGGGGGUUGGAAAGUUUCGGCGGUUGGGGAUGGACUCGCGGCUUAUCAGCUUGUUGGUGGGGUAGUGGCUUACCAAGGCUUUGACGGGUAGCCGGCCUGAGAGGGUGACCGGCCACAUUGGGACUGAGAUACGGCCCAGACUCCUACGGGAGGCAGCAGUGGGGAAUAUUGCACAAUGGGCGGAAGCCUGAUGCAGCAACGCCGCGUGCGGGAUGACGGCCUUCGGGUUGUAAACCGCUUUCGCCUGUGACGAAGCGUGAGUGACGGUAAUGGGUAAAGAAGCACCGGCUAACUACGUGCCAGCAGCCGCGGUGAUACGUAGGGUGCGAGCGUUGUCCGGAUUUAUUGGGCGUAAAGGGCUCGUAGGUGGUUGAUCGCGUCGGAAGUGUAAUCUUGGGGCUUAACCCUGAGCGUGCUUUCGAUACGGGUUGACUUGAGGAAGGUAGGGGAGAAUGGAAUUCCUGGUGGAGCGGUGGAAUGCGCAGAUAUCAGGAGGAACACCAGUGGCGAAGGCGGUUCUCUGGGCCUUUCCUGACGCUGAGGAGCGAAAGCGUGGGGAGCGAACAGGCUUAGAUACCCUGGUAGUCCACGCUGUAAACGGUGGGUACUAGGUGUGGGGUCCAUUCCACGGGUUCCGUGCCGUAGCUAACGCUUUAAGUACCCCGCCUGGGGAGUACGGCCGCAAGGCUAAAACUCAAAGGAAUUGACGGGGCCCCGCACAAGCGGCGGAGCAUGCGGAUUAAUUCGAUGCAACGCGUAGAACCUUACCUGGGUUUGACAUGGAUCGGGAGCGCUCAGAGAUGGGUGUGCCUCUUUUGGGGUCGGUUCACAGGUGGUGCAUGGCUGUCGUCAGCUCGUGUCGUGAGAUGUUGGGUUAAGUCCCGCAACGAGCGCAACCCUUGUUCACUGUUGCCAGCACGUUAUGGUGGGGACUCAGUGGAGACCGCCGGGGUCAACUCGGAGGAAGGUGGGGAUGACGUCAAGUCAUCAUGCCCCUUAUGUCCAGGGCUUCACGCAUGCUACAAUGGCUGGUACAGAGAGUGGCGAGCCUGUGAGGGUGAGCGAAUCUCGGAAAGCCGGUCUCAGUUCGGAUUGGGGUCUGCAACUCGACCUCAUGAAGUCGGAGUCGCUAGUAAUCGCAGAUCAGCAACGCUGCGGUGAAUACGUUCCCGGG